rnacentral:misc_RNA from 1 species
AUAUUAUAUGCGUUUAUAGCAAAGUUACAUUCUGAUACAUUGAGUUUAUAAAAACGGCGGUCCAGUCAACGCCCGAAGGCUAACUGACCAGACUACCUUAGGUGCACAGGGGUGAGUGGAUGAGCGAAGCGUGCACAUGCCCCCUAUGGAGGCCAGCAACAACCCCUUUCAAACUCAUUAAUGAUCCUUCCGCAGGUUCACCUACGGAAA